rnacentral:rRNA from 1 species
CCAAUAGCGUAUAUUAAAGUUGUUGCAGUUAAAAAGCUCGUAGUUGAAUUUCGGGAUCAGCAGGUUGGUCGUGCCUAUGGUAUGCACUGGCUUUACUGAUUCCUCCUUCUUGAAGAACUGUAAUGUCAUUAAUUUGGUGUUGCAGGGAAACAGGACUGUUACUUUGAAAAAAUUAGAGUGUUUAAAGCAGGCUAACGCUUGAAUACAUUAGCAUGGAAUAAUGAAAUAGGACGUUUGAUCCUAUUUUGUUGGUUUCUAGGAUUGACGUAAUGAUUAAUAGGGAUAGUUGGGGGCAUUAGUAUUCAAUUGUCAGAGGUGAAAUUCUUGGAUUUAUUGAAGACUAACUACUGCGAAAGCAUUUGCCAAGGAUGUUUUCAUUAAUCAAGAACGAAAGUUAGGGGAUCGAAGACGAUCAGAUACCGUCGUAGUCUUAACCAUAAACUAUGCCGACUAGGGAUCGGAUGAUGUUAAUUUUUUAAUGACUCAUUCGGCGCCUUACG